UACAGAGGUCUCAAGCGUUGUUCGGAUUCAUUGGGCGUAAAGGGUGCGUAGGCGGCGCGGUAAGUCGGGUGUGAAAUCUCGGAGCUUAACUCCGAAACUGCAUUCGAUACUGCCGUGCUUGAGGACUGGAGAGGAGACUGGAAUUUACGGUGUAGCGGUGAAAUGCGUAGAUAUCAUAAGGAAGACCAGUGGCGAAGGCGGGUCUCGUGGACAGUUCCUGACGCUGAGGCACGAAGGCCCAGGGGGAGCAAAACGGG
rnacentral:rRNA from 1 species